rnacentral:rRNA from 1 species
UUUGGAUUAACACUCUAUAGUAUCAUUUAAAGACAUCUUUUUAUGAUUAAAGGUUACAAAAUGAGAUGAGUAUGCGUUCUAUUAGUUUGUAGGUGAGGUAACGGCUCACCUAGACUGCGAUAGAUAGGGGCCCUGAGAGGGGGACCCCCCACACUGGUACUGAGACACGGACCAGACUCCUACGGGAGGCAGCAGUAAGGAAUAUUGGUCAAUGGACGAAAGUCUGAACCAGCCAUGCCGCGUGCAGGAUGAAUGCCCUAUGGGUUGUAAACUGCUUUUAUAUAGGAAGAAAAACUUUCUCGUGAGAAAGCUUGACGGUACUAUAAGAAUAAGGAUCGGCUAACUCCGUG